CAGUCGCCACGGUAAAACGUAGGUGGCAAGCGUUGUCCGGAAUUAUUGGGCGUAAAGGGCUCGCAGGCGGUUUCGCAAGUCUUGUGUGAAAUCUAUGGGCUCAACCCAUAGUCUGCACAGAAAACUGCGAGGCUUGAGGAUGGGAGAGGUGAGUGGAAUUUCCGGUGUAGCGGUGAAAUGCGUAGAUAUCGGAAGGAACACCUGUGGCGAAAGCGGCUCACUGGACCAUUUCUGACGCUGAUGCACGAAAGCUAGGGGAGCAAACAGGAUUAGAUACCCCAGUAGUCCCUGUCUCUUAUAA
rnacentral:rRNA from 1 species